rnacentral:lncRNA from 1 species
AUUUGGAUUUGAUCCAAUUUAUAAUUAGAGUAGGAUGUAUGUAUUCCUAAUUAGACUAGAAAUCUUUAUUUUCAUACUGCACCGAAUCUUAAUGGGAUUAGGAUUAAAUUCAGUACCAAGAAAAAGUCCCAUUGGACUAGGACUUCUCCAAUUAGGAGAUAUCUAAUCUAAAUAAAUUAGGCUCCAAAUCAGAUUUGAUUUUCUAUUUUUUUGAGUCUAAUCUAAUCUUAAUUUAAUUAGGAUUCAUUAAGAUUUAAUCGAUAUUUUUAUUUGAUUUAAAACAACCAAUUAAAAGAAGUCCCAUGUUCUUAAAACACUUUCUUUCUAUGUGCAAACAAGAUUCCAUGCCAUACUAUUUUGUGCGCCACACUUCCUCCACGCCAUAUCAGGUUUUCACGCCAAUCUUUCUUUGUUAUUAGCAUGUAAGAAAGGCUUUAAACUCCCUUUGUAUCAUGUGAAAAAUCUGGACGAACAAGUUUUGGUGGGACGGCAUUAAAAUCCUAGAGUCCUAACUUGUAUGGACUNNNNNNNNNNNNNNNNNNNNCUAACUUCUAUCCAAACUAGUAUUCUAUCCAAUGCCUAUAAAUAACCCACCCCUUAGACCAUUUUAUGUGGAUAACCAGCAGGUUUAGAUGCCCCAAAAAUCAGAGAUUUAUCAUGGGAACAAAGAAGAAAAAUUGGGACAGCAUGAAGGUUGGAGGCGUGAGAUGAGUUUGUUAUAAUCCCUUCUUUCUUGCAACAACCAAAGGGUUGGUUGUUAGGACAUCUAUUCUCUACCUUUUAUUCAUGUUUAGACAUGGAUGUCUCUUCCUUUUUUUUAUCCAAAAGUUGGACAAAAUUAUUACCUCUCUAUUGUAAAGAUUUGGUGCAUAGAUUUUAAGAAGAAUAGAGAAUAAAGGGUUCUUCUCAUGAUUUCUAGCAUAGAGAUCAAGAUCCUCCUACAUCUUCUUAUUCUCUAAGAGUGUCUUAGGAGAAAAGAAGAUUUUCAACCAUCAAAAUGCGAUCUCUGCAAGGGAGCUAGCAUUCUGGUGAGAUCAAAAAGUUUCUGAUCAGAUCAGAAUCUCGUGUGGAUAUCCGUAGAGGUCGGAUGCUUGUGCGACUAAAAGGAACAUUCGAAGGACAUCCAUGAUCAUCUGUUAGCAUUGAAGAUUGAUCCAUAUUCAGGUAUAUUUUUAAUUUAUUUUUUUUAUUUGAUUUCUAUAUCUGAAUCUUAUCUCACAUAUGAUGAUUCUGGUUAUGAUUUGAAGAUAUGAUCUUAUACAUACUUAGAUUAAAUUAGAUUUAAUCUGAAAAUUUUUAAAAUUUCACUACGUACUCUUUUUAUAUAAUCAUGUAUGCAUUAAACCAUGAAACUCUAACAAUGGUAUCAGAGCCACAUCAUAUAUAUGAGAUUUAGAUUUGAAAUCUGUAGAGAAAAAUUUCAGAUAUGAAAGAUUUUGAUGUCGUUCUGAUAUAAGAUUGUCCUGACAUAAUUUAUUAUGUUAUGCUGUAUGGUUGUCCUAGAACAAUGUUAAAAUUUUCAAUUAGAUUGUAUUUUUAAAUCUGAUUUUUAAAAGCAUAUAUGUGAUAUAUGUUUUGUUAUUUAGAUCUGAAAAGAGUUUCG